rnacentral:lncRNA from 1 species
AGUUGGCGCCACCCUGCUACUCAGCAGUGAGGAGGGAGCAAGUCUUAGGGCUUCUAGCUUGGUUUAUGGCUGAAUGGGGUAGUCAUCGCCUGCUGUGCCACCAGAGCUGGAAGCCCGAUUUUGUCAUGCAGAUAAGCCACAUUCUUCUACAGCUUUAUUGGUAACAAAGAUAACAUAUUGAUGUCCAUUUGCCAAACACCCUUGUCCUUCAAAGAUGGUUCAAAAUGACAUGGAUAUUUAGAUGGGAUGUCCACCAUAAUUAUUUUUUUGCUGAGCUUCAAGAAUAUUCUUUUGUUUGUCAGUGAUACAUAAUUAGAGAAUAUGAGGAAUCACGGUUUCAUAUGUUAUGUCUCGACUGCCAUGAAUGAGACAGUGUGAAGAACAGAAACCAAUGCAAUGAACAGCCCUGGAAGCCGCCAGCGAUGGCUUGUCUGACAACAGAAAGAGGCAGGUUUCUCUCCUGAGCCUUGCACAGACGAUGCUGGCCCAAAUCCUUCCUGAUAAACAUCAAAUGGAGACAACCAGCUACAAGCAAUUCCUCCAACAACAGAAUAAAUAUUGGCACACCAAGAAAUAAUCUACUGAUGGGAAUAGAGGCCCUGAAAAUCAUCCCACAGUGAGUCAAUCCCAAGUUCAGCAGCAAAUCCUCAUUUUGACAGAAUCAGGAAGAUGUUGAAGAGGAACUCAAUCAGCUACUGAUGACUCCACUGAUUAUGGGCUUUCUCAAGCUGCCUUUAUGAAGAACAGGAAGACAAGAUGGUCGGCUCUUAUCCCUGAAGAGGAACUUGAUCCUGAUGGAAACAUCCUAAUGGAAAAUGUGGGUUGGGAUGGGAGCCCGUGAUGAAGUGGCAGCUUGGCCUCACCACAAGUCAUUCCAGUGACAUGCGUCACAGUGCCUUCCAGCUCCAAAUUUUCAGAAAUAGUUUUGCAUAUGGAAAAAUAUGAGGUGACAUAAAAUGGUAACAAAGGUUCUACAUUUCUAUUGACUCUUCAACCACAUGUCAAUUAGGGCCAAUAUUUAGAACAUACUGGAUCUUCUGAAAGCGUGAGAAAGGAAGGUGCAUUUCCUUGCUCUCCUUGCAAAAUAUACAUAGCUACGCAUUUGAUUUUUAUUGGGAAUGUAAUCAACAGAAUAUUUUAAUAAAAAAUGUGAAAGCAGGCAGAAAAUUUUC